rnacentral:rRNA from 1 species
CAAUAGCGUAUAUUAAAGUUGUUGCGGUUAAAAAGCUCGUAGUUGGAUUUCUGCCGAGGACGACCGGUCCGCCCUCUGGGUGAGUAUCUGGCUCGGCCUGGGCAUCUUCUUGGAGAACGUAGCUGCACUUGACUGUGUGGUGCGGUAUCCAGGACUUUUACUUUGAGGAAAUUAGAGUGUUUCAAGCAGGCUUACGCCUUGAAUACAUUAGCAUGGAAUAAUAAGAUAGGACCUCGGUUCUAUUUUGUUGGUUUCUAGAGCUGAGGUAAUGAUUAAUAGGGAUAGUUGGGGGCAUUCGUAUUUAACUGUCAGAGGUGAAAUUCGUGGAUUUGUUAAAGACGGACUACUGCGAAAGCAUUUGCCAAGGAUGUUUUCAUUGA